AUGGAGGGGACAGGGCUCUGGGGGUGGCCAUGGCUGCUACUGCUGCUGCUGCUGCUCUGGGCCUCAGAGUAUUGUCCCAUGGCAAUGAUUUUGGAAGAUGGCUGUUCAGCAUGUAGGAGAAGAAGAAGGUCCCUCUCUGGCUCAGAAAAAUGGCACUGGCCAAGAGAACCAACCAAGGCAAUCUGGAUCCAAUGUAAGUUGUGUCCAAACGAGGGUUGCUCUGUGGAGGCCCAAGCAAAGGAAUGUAAGGGCUUAGCUGAGGCCCUCAGCUCAGGCCCCACAUGAGGAUUCUGGAACCAGGCUGACCACAUGGAGGACUUUCUCCUGCUCCAGGCAGACCAAGGGGGUCCUGAACCCUAGCAGGCAGAAUGACCUUCUCUUCUUUUUCUAUCCUGAAGGCCCAAUCCAAGCCUUGAAUGUUACUACUUCAAGGCAGCAAAAGUCCCAUCCAUCAGCUCUGUAGGAAAGGAGCUGGGAGUUGGGAUGCUAAGAGCAUGCAGUCAUAUUAUAUCCCUGCCCAUGAGGCACCAUCUAGAAAAUGGGGCCCCAGCGCCAAUGGAAUUUGAGUAAUCCCUUAGCAGCCUCUUCCUUGGAGUUAAAGGAAUGGGAUCUACAGAAGCUGUUCCCCACCCAGAGCUGUUGGGGAGUGAGGGCCACAGGUGGGUGUCAGAGAUCACCACCUGGAGGGAGAGAAAUGUUGAAGGCACAGAAAGGAUGGCGUUCCAUGCCAGGAGCAAGUGGUGAGAACGCACACAGAAUGUGUCAGCUACAAGAGUGGACAGUGGGCUGAAUGUCAACGGAGAAGGAGGACAACACACGACCAAAAGAACAGAAGGUGCUUUUAAUUGAAGGCCACAGGCGGGGGCACUCUUUUCGGAAAGCAGCGGGGAGCACAAAGGGCA
rnacentral:lncRNA from 12 species